UGUGAGUCACUAGUGCCCAACCUAAUAAUAGAUUUCUUUAUAUCAUAAGGUGGAAAGCUAAGACUUAACUUGCUAUUUUGUGUGGAGCCACAUGUUAAUUUUGGUGGACACUGAGCUUAGACCCAAAUAUCUUUCAAUGAAGUUUCAUAUUUCAGUAUUUGGAGUUACUUGGAACUCCAACUAAUUAAUAAAAUUAAUAGUGUCAUAUGUUUGGUCUUAGGUGACUCUGCAGCGUGAUGGAUGACAAAAACCCUAAUCAACAAAAAACUAACUCAAAAACGGAAGAACUCGUCAUGGAAUGUGAAGAAGAAGAGCUGGAACCAUGGCAAAGGAAAAGACAAGAAAUUCAGAAUAUAGAUGAUGAUGAUGAUGAGCUGAUCUUUGUUGGAGAAAUACUAAGUUCAAAGCCACCCAUUUCAAAUAUUUUAAACAGAGGCAACACCAGCUCAUCUUCAAGAGGAAUAAAGAAUGAGCUACUUGGAACAGGAAUUUCUAGUAGACUGAAGUCUAAAAAUCAACACUACAAGGAUCCAACUUCAGAUCCAGUGGCUGGUUUGCCUAGAUUUCAUCCUGAAUCUAAAUCUUCUGAAAGCCUUCAUAUUGUUCAGAAUAUGUCCAAACCUGAACUUUCAAAGAAUUCAUCACCAGUUGACUUGACCAAGGAUACAAUACCACUGUCCCCAGGCAUACCAAAAAAGCUCUUGGAAGGUACGGAGCAAGCUUCAUUUGGAAUAACACAUCUCAUUGCUUCUGAUGUGAGCAGUAUUAAUCCACCAAAGCCAAAGACCAGUCGUAGUGUUUCAGAAACAAAUCUUUCCUUGACAUUGCCUUCAAAGAGCUUUACUUCUGAAGCACCUUCACAAAUUGUGGUGACAACAGGUUCAAGUACCUUAUCUGAAUCUAAAAUUGGAGCUCCUUUCCUAAAACCUUGUCCAAAAUGCAAUACUCAGUUCAGAUAUUUGGAUGCUUUGAGAACCCACAUGAAGCGUUGUUGCCCAGAACUAGUAAAUAAGUUCCAGGGAAUUUUAAAUAUGGAACUUUUAACUGCUGACAAAGAUGAUGCUGGUUCUGAGAAAGGAAAAUUGGUCAUGUUAGUUAAUGAUUUUUAUUAUGGGAGACAUGAAGGAGCCAUUGAGGAAGAACUGAAGACUUUUACAAACUUUAAAUGUUUCAGUUGUUCAAAAGUUCUUAAAAAUAAUAUUAGGUUCAUGAACCACAUGAAACACCACUUGGAACUUGAGAAGCAGAACAGUGAGAGCUGGGAAAACCACACCACCUGCCAGCACUGCUACCGGCAGUUUCCUACACCCUUCCAGCUGCAAUGCCACAUCGAGAGUACACAUACUCACCAUGAGUUUUCUACUAUUUGCAAAAUCUGUGAAUUGUCAUUUGAAACAGAGCAAAUUCUUUUACAACAUAUGAAGGACACUCAUAAACCUGGUGAAAUGCCAUAUAUUUGCCAGGUUUGCCAGUUUAGAUCAUCAAUAUUUUCUGAUGUAGAAAUUCAUUUUCGAUUAGUCCAUGAAAACACUAAGAACUUGCUAUGUCCAUUUUGCCUCAAAGUUAGUAAAAUGGCAACCCCCUUCAUGAAUCAUUACAUGAAGCAUCAGAAAAAAGGAGUUCAUCGUUGUGUGAAAUGCAGACUGCAGUUUUUGACCUAUAAGGAAAAAAUAGAGCACAAGGCGCAGCAUCGUACAUUUAUAAAGCCUAAGGAACUAGAAGGACUGCCUCCUGGAACAAAAAUUACUAUCCGAGCUUCAUUGGGACCUGUUCAAUCAACAAUAACAAGUACAGAUUCCAGUUGUAUUCCAAGUACUUCUCUUCAGAUCUUACCUUCAACUUCUACAGAUGUAACUACUAAAAGUCUCCUAAAGAGUCCUGCAAGAAAAUCUAAGACAAGUAAACAGCAAACAAGCAUAUCCACUCCAACUAAACCUAAUACAAGUAGGUCAAACACAAUUACCUCUAAAAGCAAAGGCAAGCAGUCUUGCAAGCAAAGGAGACAGCGCAACAGAAAAAAUGCAAUCAGCACAGCUUUGAAAAACUUAAGGUAUUGCCAUGGAAUUCACAAGUGCAUUGAGUGUCACUCCAAAAUAAAAGAUUUUGCAAGCCACUUUUCUCUAUUUUCCCAUUGUGAUCAUUGCAAGUACAACACUAACUGUAACAAAGCCUUCAUAAAUCAUAUGACAAGCUUUCAUGGCAGGCAGCCAAUGAAGUGGUCUUGUCUUUUUAAGAAACAUUCAAGAGCUGUAAGGGGCAUCACUCUGGUGUGCCUUAAGUGUGAUUUCUUAGCUGAUAAUUCUCGCAUAGACCGUAUGGCUAAACACUUAAGUCAUCGUAAAACUCAUACUUGCCAAGUUAUCAUCGAGAAUGUUUCUGAAAGUACCUCAACUUCUGAACCCACUUCUCACCGCUUGUGGAAAUAGAUUCCUGCUCUAUGGAGAUCGUGCAACCUGGUGCAAGACAAGUUGAAAUGUCCUAAGCUCAAAGUGCUUUUCCACACAAAGGUGUUUGAACAAGUAUAUAAUACUAGCUCUCAUUCUUUAGCUCUUUUCAGCUUUCAAGUGACACUACAUUUUUAUUCUACCUUAUCUGUGUCAGAUUAACAUAUAAGUAUAGUUUUUCUGUAGUUAGCUAUUUCCAAAAAUUACUUUUUUGCUUUGCUUGAAAUAAUUGUUUUUCUCUGUUAUACUCACCUUCAGAAUAUUACCUUCCAAACAAUGUGGCUGUUCAUAUCUUUUUGUGUUUUGUCUGCUUCCUUAAUUUCUUAUAAGUCCUGUCUGACCUUUUGUAGGUAAGAUAGCUGAUCUUCCUUUGUUCCUUUUCUGUCAUUGUUCUAUUUUUCAAAUGUAGAAACAACACAGAAACUUCCAAAAAAAUGUUCAGUGUAUUCCAGGACAGUGUUCCCCUUCAAUGGGAACAAUUGAUACCUGUUCUUUUUCUAAGGAAAGUGAAUUAUUUGACUGUGAGUCCCCUUCCAGCUUGUGACCUGAAGAAAUCAGAGCUUAGGGAGAUUUCCUUCCUACCUGAAUGGCCUCCCAUCAUAAGGCUGAUGAUUUGACCAGUGAUAACCUCCAGGCCCACCAAAUUGAACACAACUUUCUACUGAAGGGCUCUGGUUCUUGAUCUUGAGAUUGUAAAGUGGUUCUAACCAAGCAAAGCCCAUUGUAUCCAUGGUUGAACAUUCAAGUUCAAGUUAUUUUUGUGCCAGUCCUGGGACUUGAACUCAAGGCCUGGGCACUCUCCAUGAGCUUUUUAACAAUUACUCAUGCUGUCAUUUAAAGUUUUAUAUAGUAUUAUUUCUAGGAGUUUUCAGUAAAACUAAUAUUUAAAUGUUUUAAUUAAAAAAAUUUUUGCUAGCACACUUUUAUGUUGGUCCUCAGUAAAUUAAUGUUCAUUUUAUUAUGUCUACUCCUUGUACUUUCCUUUAAAAAUCUUUGUUUAGUGUUUGGUUCUAAGAACUCCAAGAAAUUUCCUCAACAUUCUCUACUAUUCCAUGUAGCUACCUGGGGGCUUAAUUUGAUACCUGCUCAGAUAAUUAGAAACUAAUACAUGGUAUAUCUUGGGAUUAUCAUUAACAUUUUAGGGAUUAUGAGUUCAAAUGCACAAGGAAUUGACAAAGAUCCUCUUCAUGACCUUCAAACAAGUUUUAAAGAUAUAAUUCCUUUGGAUAAAGAUAAUAUAUUCAGAAAUAUUGGGACCAAAAAUUGCACUUGUUUCUUGCAUAUAUAUACAUAUAUAUAUACAUGAAUAGAUGUAUAUU